rnacentral:tRNA from 1 species
AGAAAUGUGUCCGAAAAAGAGUUACUUUGAUAGAGUAAAAUAUAGAGGUUUAAACCCUCUCAUUUCUA